rnacentral:rRNA from 1 species
UACGGAGGGUGCAAGCGUUAUCCGGAUUUACUGGGCUUAAAGGGCGCGUAGGUGGUCGAGCAAGUCAGUGGUGAAAUCUCCGGGCUUAACCCGGAAACUGCCAUUGAUACUAUUUAUCUUGAAUUCUGUUGAGGUGGGCGGAAUACAUCAUGUAGCGGUGAAAUGCUUAGAUAUGAUGUAGAACACCGAUUGCGAAGGCAGCUCACUAACCAGACAUUGACGCUGAGGCACGAAAGCGUGGGGAUCAAACAGG